rnacentral:tRNA from 1 species
ACGCAAAGAUUGACGAUUGGUAAGAAUCCACAACAAGUUGUUCUUCAUAGAUGUAUCUGAGGGUCUGUAGCUCAGUUGGUUAGAGCACACGCUUGAUAAGCGUGGGGUCACAAGUUCAAGUCUUGUCAGACCCACCAUGACUUUGACUGGUUAAAGUUAUAGAUAAAAGAUACAUGACUGAUGAUGUAAGCUGGGGACUUAGCUUAGUUGGUAGAGCGCCUGCUUUGCACGCAGGAGGUCAGGAGUUCGACUCUCCUAGUCUCCACCAGAACUUAAGAGAAGUUCGGAUUACAGAAAUUAGUAAAUAGAGAUUUAGAUCUUGGUUUAUUAACUUCUGUGAUUUAAGUAUCACGGUAUUAAGCAUGACCUGACGAAGGCGUGUUUAUUCAUUAACAGAUUGGCAAAAUUGAGUCUGAAAUAAAUUGUUCACUCAAGAGUUUAGAUUAAGCAAUUAAUCUAGAUGAAUUGAGAACUAGCAAAUUAACUGAAUCAAGCGUUUUGGUAUAUGAAUUUAGAUUGAAGCUGUACAGUGUUUAAGUACACAGACAACAGAUAGUAGCGAUGAAGAAUCGCACGGACAACACUCACUUGUAGG